rnacentral:rRNA from 1 species
UACGAAGGGGGCUAGCGUUGCUCGGAAUUACUGGGCGUAAAGGGCGCGUUAGGCGGAUAUUUAAGUUAGAGGUGAAAGCCCAGGGCUCAACCCUGGAAUAGCCUUUAAUACUGGAUAUCUUGAGUUCGGGAGAGGUGAGUGGAACUCCGAGUGUAGAGGUGAAAUUUCGUAGAUAUUCGGAAGAACACCAGUGGCGAAGGCGACUCACUGGCCCGAUACUGACGCUGAGGCGCGAAAGCGUGGGGAGCAAACAGG